CGUCUCUGUUCUUGACUGGAGGAUCCUCACUGUAAACUGGAGAAACUGGGGUUGAGAGAUUGUGGCGUCACAGAUGAAGGUUGUUCUGCUCUGGCUUCAGCUCUGAGAUCAAACCCCUCACACCUGAGAGAUCUGAGUCUGUCUGAGAAUAAU